AUUGAACGCUGGCGGCAGGCCUAACACAUGCAAGUCGAGCGGAUGAAGGGAGCUUGCUCCUGGAUUCAGCGGCGGACGGGUGAGUAAUGCCUAGGAAUCUGCCUGGUAGUGGGGGAUAACGUCCGGAAACGGGCGCUAAUACCGCAUACGUCCUGAGUGAGAAAGUGGGGGAUCUUCGGACCUCACGCUAUCAGAUGAGCCUAGGUCGGAUUAGCUAGUUGGUGGGGUAAAGGCCUACCAAGGCGACGAUCCGUAACUGGUCUGAGAGGAUGAUCAGUCACACUGGAAAUGAGACACGGUCCAGACUCCUACGGGAGGCAGCAGUGGGGAAUAUUGGACAAUGGGCGAAAGCCUGAUCCAGCCAUGCCGCGUGUGUGAAGAAGGUCUUCGGAUUGUAAAGCACUUUAAGUUGGGAGGAGGGGCAGUAAGUUAAUACCUUGCUGUUUUGACGUUACCAACAGAAUAAGCACCGGCUAACUUCGUG
rnacentral:rRNA from 1 species